UUAUCCGCGCGCAAGCAGUUUUAUUUCCGUCAUUUUCGUAUGUAAAAGUCGCCUGUUGAAUGGAGAGUGUCAUUUUCCUAUUAAUUAUUUCUCAGCGCCUUUGUUCAAAAGAGCAAUUAUAAACCCACUCUUAAUAAAAAAUUCUCUAUAAAACUUGCAGACACAGGACUGGAGACGCCGCAAAACCAGUGAAGCGUGACAGCACAACUCCUAUUGCGCUAGAACUCCAGCAAUAUUACAAAUCUUUUAAGAUGAAGAAUGCGUUCUCUCUACUGGUCAUCAUUUGUUUAGCGGCAACUCUUCACAUAUCUUCAACACAAAGUGUAUGUGAUGACGAGUGUUUCACGAAUUAUCAACAAUGUAAUUCUCAGUGCACUGAUUUUUCUAAAUGUGGGGACUGCACAGACCUCUACGGAACAUGCCUCGACGGAUGUGGAAAACGAAGCCUUCGAUCCAGGUUAUGGCCAUCGAGUGAAUAUUGGAGUGAAAAGCCAAAGUCAACAAAAUAACAAGUCUUUAAGAGCGAUCCUCUACAGCAAAACAUAUUAAGUUUCGUGGUGCAAAAAAUAAUCUAUGUAUUCAAAUAAACGUCAUCUUCCUAAGCCA